GGCAGUUUGCUUCCAUAAGGCCAGCAGGAGGGUCUCUUUCCAGUGUGCCGGGAGUCGUCUGCACCGUCACCGUGGGCCUGGCCUCUGCCCCUUUGCCACAUCCUAUCAGCGGUAAGUGACCUCCCACAGAUUCCCUUAAUCUGUGCCCUCACAUCUGCUGGUGGCUGCGGGAGUUCCAGCAAAGUUGGAGACCCGCCCCUCAACAUGCAACUUGGGAGUGGCCCGUCCAGUCUCACCUGGCUGGAGCCUGUGUACACACGACCUCACUCUCUAAGAGGACGGAGGUGCUC